rnacentral:rRNA from 2 species
UUAAAUUGAAGAGUUUGAUCAUGGCUCAGAUUGAACGCUGGCGGCAGGCCUAACACAUGCAAGUCGAACGGUAACAGGAAGAAGCUUGCUUCUUUGCUGACGAG